rnacentral:rRNA from 1 species
GUUGAACGCUGGCGGCAGGCCUAACACAUGCAAGUCGAGCGGAGCGGCGGACGGGGGCGUAAUGCCUAGGACUCUGCCUGGUAGUGGGGGAUAAGGUCAGGUAACGGGCGCUAAUGCCAAAUACUAUCGGCUGAGCCUAGGUCGGAUUGGCUAGUUGGUGGGGUAAAGGCCUACCAAGGCGACGAUCCCUAACUGGUCUGAGAGGAUGAUCAGCCACACUGGAACUGAGACACGGUCCAGACUCCUACGGGAGGCAGCAGUGGGGAAGAUUGCACAAUGGGCGAAAGCCUGAUCCAGCCAUGCCGCGUGUGUGAAGAAGGUCUUCGGAUUGUAAAGCACUUUCAGCUGGGAGGCGUUACCAACAGAAUAAGCACCGGCGAACUUCGUGCCAGCAGCCGCGGUAAUUC